rnacentral:rRNA from 1 species
UACGUAGGUGGCAAGCGUUGUCCGGAUUUAUUGGGUUUAAAGGGUGCGUAGGCGGUUCCAUAAGUCAGUGGUGAAAUACGGCAGCUCAACUGUCGAGGUGCCAUUGAUACUGCGGGACUUGAGUACUGAUGAGGCAGGCGGAAUUGACGGUGUAGCGGUGAAAUGCUUAGAUAUCGUCAAGAACACCGAUAGCGAAGGCAGCUUGCCAAGCAGUAACUGACGCUGAGGCACGAAAGUGCGGGGAUCAAACAGG